GACAGAGGUGGCGAGCGUUGUUCGGUGUCACUGGGCUUAGAGCGUGUGUAGGCGGAAAAGUAAGCGCUUUGUGAAAUCCCCCGGCUCAACCGGGGAACGGCUUGGCGUACUGCUUUUCUUGAGGCAAGUAGGGGUGCGAGGAACUCUUGGUGGAGCGGUGGAAUGCGUAGAUAUCAAGAGGAACGCCGGUGGUGAAGACGUCGCACUAGGCUUGUCCUGACGCUGAGACACGAAAGCGUGGGGAGCAAACGGG
rnacentral:rRNA from 1 species